CUUUCUUAGUUGAAGACCCCUUCUUGAUAAUGGAUGUUUUAUAGUUAGAGACUCUGUCACUAGUGGGGUUUCACUCACCGUCCUGGUGCCCUAUCAGUAAUUACUUCUUCCCUGUGGGGCUGUUCAGCAGUGACCAUAUCAGUGUACAGGUGAUGGUGCUAUGGCAGUAGAGGUUGAACCUUCUCACCAAUAUUGUUACAUGUUCUUGCCAUCUGACAAAUGGCAGCAGAGGGGCAGUCUGACAUGGAAGUGCUUAUGAAGAAAGAACAUAUCAUUCAAUUCCUCUCUGUGGAAAAAAUUGCAUCCACUGACAUUCAUUGAUGCUUUUUAGUACAGAAUGGUGGUGGGUGAUGUGUUGCAGCAGUGGUGACAGCAGUGUGAAAGACAAGCCAUAUUCAAGACAGCCUGCACAACUGUCACACCACAAAGAAUGUCUUGAUCAGCUCAUCCAUGCAAGUCUACUAAUAGUGGUGACUACAUUGAAAAAUAGUGUUUUGUAGCUGAGAAUUUGCUCUUUCAAAUAGUGUUAUUGUGCUCUUUGCAUCUGUUCUAGUUCCUGUGGAAACAAAUAGGAAGCAUUACUUUUGGAGUAACCUACAUACCUCAUGGCAUGGAACCACUUCAAGUCUCUUCUCUUAGUCCUGUGCUCACAUGUAGAGUCAUUGGGCAUCUCAGCAUCAUGUUUCCACAUGUUCUGGAUCCUGCCAAGACAUUCCAGCUUAGGCACAGUGUAAAGCCUAAUUUUUUGUACUUUUACACCAUUCUGUUGCUGAGUUAAGAAACUUUCAGAACUCUCAUGUGGGACACUAGCAACUUUCCAUCAAACAGCACUGAGCAUAUAAUCAGCAAACAUUACCAUAGUUCACUAUGCUAGCUGGGCUUAACUAAUUUGAGUUUCCUGUUGCUGUGAGUAAUAUUAUGGCUAACAUAAUACAUAUGAACUACAGCUGUGUACUAUUACUGUGUAUGAUCUUACUACUUUUACUUGGCCCUGAGGGAAAGCAUUUAUAUUUUUCCUCUUUGAAAGUAGUAGUUUUCUGGCUAGUACAUCCUUUUUUCUUCCACUCCCACUGUGGCUAUCUCUUUUCUGCGAUUUAAACAGGGUGAUGGCUUGCAGAUUUUUUUUUAGUGAAUGUCUAAUUAACAUUUAUUUAUAAUCUUUUCUGAUGCAAGUUGGUCCCUCUGAACAUUCACAAAAUCUUUAUUGAAUGAUUCAGUUAGUUAUAGUAGAAUUCCAGUUGUGCUACUUUUACCUCAUCUUUUUUUGAAACAAUGAGCAGCAGGCACUGCAGGGUGAUAUUGAAAAACAGCUCUGAAAAGUCGUUCUCGAUCACCCAUUCAUUAAUUAUAUGUACCAAUGGAAUUCAUGAAUAAACUCCUGGUAAU
ensembl:lncRNA